AUAUUGGGCUUUUGGCCCGUAACCUGUCCUAAACUAUGUUUGUAAUCCCUUUGGCGUAAAAUUUGCUUCACCUAUAUUAAUUUACAACUUUGACUUCAAGGCCCCAAAUAAAUAAAUAAAUAAAUAAAUAAAAAUAAAUAAAGCAAUAGUAAAUAAAUAAAAAAAGAUGAGACUUUUCGAGUCUCUUAGCUACUCCAACAAGGGGCCUUUUGGCUCAUUUUUCCUUCUUCCAACUCCUCGUAUCCAUGCGCUAUGUAACCGAAUUUAGACUUUCUUUCGGGCUUGACUCAAAAUAUGGUCCUCAUUGGCCUAUUAUGAAAUGCAAAUAGAAAGAGUUUGGUUGGACUCCAACGAAUUUUGACUCCAACGAAUUUUCAUGCAAAAUAAGAAAAAUAAAGAAUAUUAAUACACGACCAACCAAAGGAAGAUGAGAAAGAAAAGUAAAAUAAUACAUUAGUCAACCUAGGGAAAGGAAAAUUAAAAUUAGUUAACACAUGACCAACCAAAGAAGGAAGGAAAAAAGAUAGAGAAAAUUUAUAAGAAUGAAAGAAAUGGGGAUAUGUCCAGGCAUUCAAGCAACACACUAAGUGAUAUCUUGAUAUAGAUUUCUUUACACUUGAAUGAAAGUAACAUAUUUGAUACCAAAUCAUACCACUAAUAAAAGCAUAGAUGACACAUAGAUACUCGACAAACUUAUUUGAAAAGUUUCAUGAUCAAAAUAUUAUUUAUUUCAUAAUCAAUCAAUUAGAACAACACACAAAUUUAUCCAAGAUUAUAUCGAGAUGAGAAUAUGAUUGGGAGGUGAUUAAGGUUGACUCUAUUACGAGAAGCCAAAUGACAGGAUAAGGCUAUGGGUCACUCAACUUUAUUAUCAAUCAAGCAUUUUGAAACAAAUCUUAAGCAAGAUAAUAACAAAGGCAGUGAACAAGUUAGUAAUACUGGGAAUGUCUGGACGUUUUAGUGAAAGAACACAACAAAAGUUUUACAAUAGAAAAGGUCAUGUCUAGAUUUUCUAAGAGGCAGCUAAUCUGUAAACAAACAUAGAUGGCUAGAAUGUAAUGAAAUUUUGAGAAGGGUAUUCAAAGACUGAGAAGAUAUCCGUUACUUUCCAAUUAUCAUUUUCAAAAUAACUUUAUAUUAAAAUUGAAAUCCCACAGGUAGACACUCCACUUAAUCAUACUCAAUAGCAGUAAACACUCUCAAGGCAGAAACAAGCGCAUUUACAAGAAAAAUCAAUAGAAAAUAGAGAAAGAGUGGGGAUUAUGCAUAAACACAAAUUCUAAUUAUUAAAAGGAAGUAAUUGCAGCAAAAGUCAUCAAAACAUACUCUCAACUAGACAAGACGAAAACACACAACUAAAAUACUGGAAGUAAGCUAAGAAAGUAAAAUCAAGAUAUCCAACCUAAAUAAAUUGUAGUAAAAUGGAUGCAUAUUUGGAAAUCACGAGAGAGAGAUCACGUAGGUUAUGACUUUAAAUUCAAUACAUUUAACCCAACUCCAUUAACUGGUAUAUUCUCAAAAGAAAGAAACUGGAACCUUACACCUCGGGCAAAACAUAGCAAAAGGAAAUUUCUAGACUCAUGGAAAAAACUUUAGCUUUUGAUAGUCUAAAAUAAUCCCCAAAAUGAAAACAUGAUGAAGCAAACAAUAGGGAGUUUUUGGCAUCAUUCAGAAAAAAAAUAUAGUCUUGCUCAUGUUCUUCGAUAAGUGUGAUAAAAAAGGACUAUACUAACAAAGAUUAUAAAUCACCUCAUGACGAGAUCUUCCUAAAUUGGUAUAUACAAAAUACAUCGAACAUGUAACUAUUUCCAAACAUGUAUAGAAGAUGAUUUCGAGAAAAUAGGCAAAUCGACCUAGUACGAUAAAGAAAACAUGUUCAAAAUCUCUAAUCAUAACUUCAAACAACUUGAACAACAACAAAAUUAAAAGGCUAACAAGUGCCCAAACAAUGAAUCAAAUAGCUAGAGCACAAAAACCUACUGGCCUUUAAGGCUUUCUGCAGCAAACAAUUCCCAUCCCUAAUCACGAUUACGACUAAACGACUAUUGCUACGAUGAAAAAGAUGAAAAAGAAAAUGAUAAAAUUAAAAGGGAAAAAAGUAUGUUUACCUCUUUCAGGGCAGCAAAACAGGACUUCGGGCUUUCGUCGGAGUGUCGACCACCACCAAAAAACGUUCAACUCAAGAACUUCG
rnacentral:lncRNA from 1 species